GGGCGCAAGCCUGAUGCAGCGACGCCGCGUGGGUGAUGAAGGUCUUCGGAUCGUAAAGCCCUUUUCUGCGUGACGAGACAGGACGGUAGCGCAGGAAUAAGUCUCGGCUAACUACGUGCCAGCAGCCGCGGUAAAACGUAGGAGACGAACGUUAUCCGGAGUUACUGGGCGUAAAGGGCGUGUAGGCGGUUUGUUAAGUCUGGCGUGAAAGCUCUCGGCUAAACCGGGAGAGGUCGUUGGAUACUGGCGAACUCGAGGAUGGUAGAGGCGUGUGGAAUUCCGGGUGUAGUGGUGAAAUGCGUAGAGAUCCGGAGGAACACCAGUGGCGAAGGCGACACGCUGGGCCAUACCUGACGCUAAAGCGCGACAGCAUGGGGAGCAAACGGGAUUAGAAACCCCGGUAGUCCAUGCCGUAAACGAUGCCAGCUAGAUGUUCAGAGGGCGCAAGCCGUCGGGGUAUCGAAGCAAACGCGAUAAGCUGGCCGCCUGGGGAGUACGGUCGCAAGGCUA
rnacentral:rRNA from 1 species